GACAGAGGUCCCGAGCGUUAGGCGGAAUCACUGGGCUUAAAGCGUGUGUAGGCGGAUUUGUAAGUACCUUGUGAAAUCCCACGGCUUAACCGUGGAACUGCUUGGUAUACUGCUUAUCUUGGGCCAUCUAGGGGCUACCGGAACAAGUGGUGGAGCGGUGAAAUGCGUAGAUAUCCUCAGGAACGCCGGUGGCGAAAGCGACGUGCUGGACCUCUUCUGACGCUGAGGCGCGAAAGCCAGGGGAGCAAACGGG
rnacentral:rRNA from 1 species